rnacentral:rRNA from 1 species
UGGAAGUAAAAGUCGUAACAAGGUCUCCGUUGGUGAACCAGCGGAGGGAUCAUUACCGAGUUUACAACUCCCAAACCCCUGUGAACAUACCUAUACGUUGCCUCGGCGGAUCAGCCCGCGCCCCGUAAAAAGGGACGGCCCGCCCGAGGACCCCUAAACUCUGUUUUUAGUGGAACUUCUGAGUAAAACAAACAAAUAAAUCAAAACUUUCAACAACGGAUCUCUUGGUUCUGGCAUCGAUGAAGAACGCAGCAAAAUGCGAUAAGUAAUGUGAAUUGCAGAAUUCAGUGAAUCAUCGAAUCUUUGAACGCACAUUGCGCCCGCCAGUAUUCUGGCGGGCAUGCCUGUUCGAGCGUCAUUUCAACCCUCAAGCUCAGCUUGGUGUUGGGACUCGCGGUAACCCGCGUUCCCCAAAUCGAUUGGCGGUCACGUCGAGCUUCCAUAGCGUAGUAAUCAUACACCUCGUUACUGGUAAUCGUCGCGGCCACGCCGUAAAACCCCAACUUCUGAAUGUUGACCUCGGAUCAGGUAGGAAUACCCGCUGAACUUAAGCAUAUCAAUAAGCGGAGGAA